rnacentral:rRNA from 1 species
CGGCAGGCUUACACAUGGCAGUCGAGCGGGGAGAUGUAGCUAGGCUACAUUUCCUAGCGGCGGACGGGUGAGUAAUGCUUAGGAAUCUGCCUAUUAGUGGGGGACAACAUUCCGAAAGGAAUGCUAAUACCGCAUACGCCCUACGGGGGAAAGCAGGGGAUCUUCGGACCUUGCGCUAAUAGAUGAGCCUAAGUCAGAUUAGCUAGUUGGUGGGGUAAAGGCCUACCAAGGCGACGAUCUGUAGCGGGUCUGAGAGGAUGAUCCGCCACACUGGGACUGAGACACGGCCCAGACUCCUACGGGAGGCAGCAGUGGGGAAUAUUGGACAAUGGGCGAAAGCCUGAUCCAGCCAUGCCGCGUGUGUGAAGAAGGCCUUUUGGUUGUAAAGCACUUUAAGCGAGGAGGAGGCUACUUAGAUUAAUACUCUAGGAUAGUGGACGUUACUCGCAGAAUAAGCACCGGCUAACUCUGUGCCAGCAGCCGCGGUAAUACAGAGGGUGCGAGCGUUAAUCGGAUUUACUGGGCGUAAAGCGUGCGUAGGCGGCUUUUUAAGUCGGAUGUGAAAUCCCUGAGCUUAACUUAGGAAUUGCAUUCGAUACUGGGAAGCUAGAGUAUGGGAGAGGAUGGUAGAAUUCCAGGUGUAGCGGUGAAAUGCGUAGAGAUCUGGAGGAAUACCGAUGGCGAACGCAGCCAUCUGGCCUAAUACUGACGCUGAUGUACGAAAGCAUGGGGAGCAAACAGGAUUAGAUACCCUGGUAGUCCAUGCCGUAAACGAUGUCUACUAGCCGUUGGGGCCCUUUGAGGCUUUAGUGGCGCAGCUAACGCGAUAAGUAGACCGCCUGGGGGAGUACGGUCGCAAGACUAAAACUCAAUGAAUUGACGGGGGCCCGCACAGGCGGUGGAG